CAGCAGCCGCGGGAACACGUAGGGUGCAAGCGUUAAUCGGAAUUACUGGGCGUAAAGCGUGCGCAGGCGGUUUGUUAAGACAGAUGUGAAAUCCCCGGGCUCAACCUGGGAACUGCAUUUGUGACUGACAAGCUAGAGUAUGGCAGAGGGGGGUGGAAUUCCGCGUGUAGCAGUGAAAUGCGUAGAGAUCGGAAGGAACAUCUGUGGCGAAGGCGACUAUCUGGGCCAACACUGACACUGAGGCACGAAAGCGUGGGGAGCAAACAGGAUUAGAUACCCCGGUAGUCCCUGUCUCUUAUAC
rnacentral:rRNA from 1 species